rnacentral:rRNA from 1 species
AGUGAACGCUGGCGGUAGGCCUAACACAUGCAAGUCGAACGGCAGCACAGUAAGAGCUUGCUCUUACGGGUGGCGAGUGGCGGACGGGUGAGGAAUACAUCGGAAUCUACUUUUUCGUGGGGGAUAACGUAGGGAAACUUACGCUAAUACCGCAUACGACCUACGGGUGAAAGCAGGGGAUCUUCGGACCUUGCGCGAUUGAAUGAGCCGAUGUCGGAUUGGCUAGUUGGCGGGGUAAAGGCCCACCAAGGCGACGAUCCGUAGCUGGUCUGAGAGGAUGAUGAGCCACACUGGAAGUGAGACACGGUCCAGGCUCCUACGGGAGGCAGCAGUGGGGAAUGGUGGACAAUGGGCGCAAGCCUGAUCCAGCCAUACCGCGUGGGUGAAGAAGGCCUUCGGGUUGUAAAGCCCUUUUGUUGGGAAAGAAAGGCAGCAGGUUAAUACCCCGCUGUUCUGACGGUACCCAAAGAAUAAGCACCGGCUAACUUCGU